rnacentral:tRNA from 1 species
GCCGAAGUGGCGGAACUGGUAGACGCAUACGGCUCAGGACCGUAUAUCCGAAAGGAUGUGAGGGUUCGAAUCCCUCCUUCGGCA